UUUUAAAAACCUUGCAGUAAUCAGUACUUUACUGCUUGUCUUUGAGAACUGUUCAAAUUAUGAAUAAAGCGCUUUAUUUAGUUUUUGUCAUCGGAAUUCGGUUUUCCGUUGUCACAACCAGCUGCAAUGAAUUUGUAACCUCGAAUGAUUUGCAUAACCUGGUAAUGGUUGAAAUUGAGAAAUUUUUUUUGGAUAGCCUUAGUCGAGAAUGCGGAGCUAAUGAAAAUGGCGUUUUCAUGAUGGCUAUUGUAAAGAUCGUAGCAAUGAUUGAAGGUGGAGUGCCCGUUAUGACCGCUCUUGAAAAAUUCGACAUUGUCAUUCGGGAGGAGAUCGAACAAGUUGAAGAAUAUCAAAUAGAGUUAACACGAAAGACUUGGACAAUUAAGUAUUAUGAGCGUGUACCAAUCUACGCGUGUCACGGUUUCUGGGAAUCAAUUACUUGUCAUAUUUAUCCAGUUUUUAAGCUUUGCUAUAAAACUUUUCUAAGGAUACGGUGGUGCAGCAAACAUGGCUGUUAUCGUUAAAUACUACUGCGUUUUGUCUGAAAUAAAUUUUCACAAAAAUUAAAGUUCGUAUUUGAUAAAAUCAAAAUAAAAAUUGACCUUUCCAAACACUGACUUAGUUUCGAUUUAGUUUGAGGUUGAAAGAAUUAAGUUAGUUCCAUAUAAAUCAAUUUUUUUCGAAUAUUAACGAUGUAUUUAUUUUAAAAACCUUGCAGUAAUCAGUACUUUACUGCUUGUCUUUGAGAACUGUUUAAAUUGUGAAUAAAGCGCUUUAUUUAGUUUUUGUCAUCGGAAUUCGGUUUUCCGUUGUCACAACCAGCUGCAAUGAAUUUGUAACCUCGAAUGAUUUGCAUAACCUGGUAAUGGUUGAAAUUGAGAAAUUUUUUUUGGAUAGCCUUAGUCGGGAAUGCGGAGCUAAUGAAAAUGGCGUUUUCAUGAUGGCUAUUGUAAAGAUCGUAGCAAUGAUUGAAGGUGGAAUGCCCGUUAUGACCGCUCUUGAAAAAUUCGACAUUGUCAUUCGGGAGGAGAUCGAAAAAGUUGAAGAAUAUCAAAUAGAGUUAACACGAAAGACUUGGACAAUUAAGUAUUAUGAGCGUGUACCAAUCUACGCGUGUCACGGUUUCUGGGAAUCAAUUACUUGUCAUAUUUAUCCAGUUUUUAAGCUUUGCUAUAAAACUUUUCUAAGGAUACGGUGGUGCAGCAAACAUGGCUGUUAUCGUUAAAUACUACUGCGUUUUGUCUGAAAUAAAUUUUCACUAAAAUUAAAGUUCGUAUUUGAUAAAAGCAAAAUAAAAAUUGACCUUUCCAAACACUGACUUAGUUUCGAUUAAGUUUGAGGUUGAAAGAAUUAAGUUAGUUCCAUAUAAAUCAUUUUUUUUCGAAUAUUAACGAUGUAUUUAUUUUAAAAACCUUGCAGUAAUCAGUACUUUACUGCUUGUCCUUGAGAACUGUUUAAAUUAUGAAUAAAGCGCUUUAUUUAGUUUUUGUCAUUGGAAUUCGGUUUUCCGUUGUCACAACCAGCUGCAAUGAAUUUGUAACCUCGAAUGAUUUGCAUAACCUGGUAAUGGUUGAAAUUGAGAAAUUUUUUUUGGAUAGCCUUAGUCGGGAAUGCGGAGCUAAUGAAAAUGGCGUUUUCAUGAUGGCUAUUAUAAAGAUCGUAGCAAUGAUUGAAGGUGGAAUGCCCGUUAUGAGCGCUCUUGAAAAAUUCGACAUUGUCAUUCGGGAGGAGAUCGAAAAAGUUGAAGAAUAUCAAAUAGAGUUAACACGAACAACAACAACAACACCACUACGAACUUGGACAUAUAAGUAUUAUGAGCAUAUACCAAUCUACGCGUGUCACGGUUUCUGGGAAACAAUUACUUGUCAUAUUUAUCCAGUUUUUAAGUCUUGCUAUAGAACUUAUCUAAGGAUACGGUGGUGCAGCAAACAUGGCUGUUAUGGUUAAAUACUACUGUGUUUUGUCUGAAAUAAAUUUUCCCAAAAAUUAAAGUUCGUAUUUGACAAAAGCAAAAUAAAAAUUGACCUUUCCAAACACUGACUUAGUUUCGAUUAAGUUUGAGGUUGAAAGAAUUAAGUUAGUUCCAUAUAAAUCAUUUUUUUUCGAAUAUUAACGAUGUAUUUAUUUUAAAAACCUUGCAGUAAUCAGUACUUUACUGCUUGUCUUUGAGAACUGUUUAAAUUAUGGUGAGUCUCUUCCUCUCCCAGAUAGAAAGUGCUUUAGUUAGUUUUUGCCAUCGGUUUUAAAUUGACACAACCAAUUGCAAGAAUGAUAAUGUAAAUGGCGUUUUCCUAAUGUUAAUUGUAAAGAUGACAGCAAUCAUUGAAGGUGGAAUGUCCCAUAUAUGUAGAGGCAACAACAAGACGGAAAACUUGGACAUAUAAGUAUUAAAAAGGGUGGAAGUGGACCACCUCCAGGACUGCCGGCAGGAAACAAAAACAAAGCGGGCGGCGGAGCUGACAAAGGAGGCAAAAAAGGACAAGAGCAAAAACCAGCCGGAGGCAGCUCAAAGAAAGGAGGCAAAAAGUAACAACAACAACAAAUAAAAAAUAUAUAAAAAUUACUCUAUACACAAUAUAAACAUAAACAAAUUAAUUGCUAAGUUUUUUAAAACACAUUGAAAAUGUGCAAAUAUGCUUCGGCCCACCGAAGGUGUUAUAUCCUUGCAAUGCCCUUUGACCAUUUCCUUCUGGUUCAUUCUGAAUUCGAAUUCAAGUGAAAUUCGCUUUCAGAAUAAAUUAAAAUUGGGUAUUCUGAAUAAUUAAACAUCGGAAUUAAUCGACUUAAUUACAAUCUUCAAGUUUGGCUUCAGUUUAAACCUUCUGCAAGGGUAUAAAGAUACACAACAGAUUUAAAUAUAUCAGGGAUAAAUAUGACAUUAAUUAUAAUUGUUGAUUAAAUCA